GAUGAAUUUGUGGAGAGAGUAACUGAUAGCAAACUUGUUGAAGAUUCUCAUAUGGAGUCAUGUCUACCUUUGGCAGGUAAAUUAUUCAACCAAUUAGAUAAAUUUUCGUUUCUAAUAUUCUUCGUUGUUAACAAUAUUAACUCAAUCAUUUAGGCACACUAUACCGGGAGAAACAGGACCUUGUGGCAUAAACAUCAAAGAAGACUAAAAUAACUCAAGCUAAGGACAAACAUGUAGCUAAGGGUACAAAACUGAAAAACUAGAGAAAAACUAUUGUCAUUAUAUAGACACUUAAUCUUUGAAGUGUGUUCUUGUAUGAUUGAUGGGAGUUUCUGUGCAACAUUAUCAGCAAAGAAGGCGAAGAAAAUGAAGUCUAAUAUCUUAAAAGACAAGAUACAAAGCUAGCAUAUCUGAUUCAUCCCACCAACUUACUGAAGUGGUUGUCGAGCAUAAUAAAGGUUAGUAUUCUACAUGAGGCAACGGUGUUAAUAGUUCUAAAUCAAAUCAUCAAUGAUAUAGGAUAUUAUGCAAAUACAUUAUGUUUGUCAUUAACUAAUUUUAUUAAUAUUAUCAUCAACUUUUAGGCAAAGGAGUCCCACAAACACCAACACUCAAGUCAAGGAGUGGCAGAACAAUCAAGCGAAGAAUAUUGGACUAAUGAAGUGAAAGAUUUUAUGAGACUUUGAAGCAACUUCUGUAUGUACUUUGACUUUUGCCUCUAUUACACCGCGUCGGUCACAUUCUACUAUAUUUUGAGGUUACCUUUUGCAUGUACAUUGUAUAUGCCUCGAUGUAGUUUUUAGCUUAAUGCGAUAUGUAUAUAUAACGCGUAAUGUCUAAAAGGAUAGUUAAAUAGGUUAUAUAUAAAUUGUAUUGUGUAGAUUGUUGCUCCUAGCUGUACAAAUUAAAUACUCUUUGCUGUAUUACAACUGUGACCUACAAGUCAUAGUAUAAUAUGUCUA
rnacentral:lncRNA from 1 species